AACAUAUUGAACUCACUGAAGGAAUCUCAAGAGUAUUACUUCUUUGGACUCUGCCUACAGCUUAUUCGUGGGAACAAGAUGGACUUGACCGUCAACUGUCGAACAUAUUGAACUCACUGAAGGAAUCUCAAGAGUAUUACUUCUUUGGACUCUGCCUACAGCUUAUUCGUGGGAACAAGAUGGACUUGACCGUCAACUGUCGAACAUAUUGAACUCACUGAAGGAAUCUCAAGAGUAUUACUUCUUUGGACUCUGCCUACAGCUUAUUCGUGGGAACAAGAUGGACUUGACCGUCAACUGUCGAACAUAUUGAACUCACUGAAGGAAUCUCAAGAGUAUUACUUCUUUGGAGUAAGAAAGAACUCGACCGAUGACGGUAAAAUUUUCUUCGAAAUCACACAGACGGCAGUACAACUCUUGUCCAUGUAGUGAUGAUU